GAUGGGGAGAGAGGGACAGCGCAGAGUCAUAGAACCCUGGAAUGGUUUGGGUUGGAAAGGACCUCAAUGACCACCCAGUGCCACCCCUGCCAUGGCAGGGACACCUUGCACUAGCCCAGGUGGCUCCGAGCCCUGUCCAACCUGGCCUUGGACACUUCCAGGGAUGGCCGUGUCUGCUUCUCUCCAUCUGCAGGCUCGGGCUGGGUGCCAGGGGGUGGAAGGAGGAGGCUGCUGCUUGGGCAUGUGAGGCACCAGAGUCGGAGAGUGGCUGGAAGGGAGGGCUGGCAAGUGAGGAAUUGCCACAGAAUCACAGGUGGCUGAGGUUGGAGGUCACCUGGUCCAAUUCCUGCUCAAGCAGGGUCAGGUGCAGCAGCUUGCCCAGGAGCACAACCAGCUGGAUUUUGAAUAUGUCCAAGGAAGGAGACUCCACAACCUCCCUGGGCAGCCUGUGCCCAUGCUCGGUCCUCCUCACAGGAACUAAAGUGGUUCCCUGUGUUUGGGUGGUA